GCCAGGUGUGGUGGCGCGCACCUGUAAUCCCAGCUACUCGGGAGGCUGAGGCAGGAGAAUUGCUUGAACCCAGGAGACAGAGGUUGCAGUGAGGCAAGAUCAUGCUACUGCACUCCUGCCUGGGUGACAGAAUGAGACUCUGUCUCAA
rnacentral:SRP_RNA from 1 species